UCGAGCGAACAGACGAGGAGCUUGCUCCUCUGACGUUAGCGGCGGACGGGUGAGUAACACGUGGAUAACCUACCUAUAAGACUGGGAUAACUUCGGGAAACCGGAGCUAAUACCGGAUAAUAUAUUGAACCGCAUGGUUCAAUAGUGAAAGACGGUUUUGCUGUCACUUAUAGAUGGAUCCGCGCCGCAUUAGCUAGUUGGUAAGGUAACGGCUUACCAAGGCAACGAUGCGUAGCCGACCUGAGAGGGUGAUCGGCCACACUGGAACUGAGACACGGUCCAGACUCCUACGGGAGGCAGCAGUAGGGAAUCUUCCGCAAUGGGCGAAAGCCUGACGGAGCAACGCCGCGUGAGUGAUGAAGGUCUUCGGAUCGUAAAACUCUGUUAUUAGGGAAGAACAAAUGUGUAAGUAACUAUGCACGUCUUGACGGUACCUAAUCAGAAAGCCACGGCUAACUACGUGCCAGCAGCCGCGGUAAUACGUAGGUGGCAAGCGUUAUCCGGAAUUAUUGGGCGUAAAGCGCGCGUAGGCGGUUUUUUAAGUCUGAUGUGAAAGCCCACGGCUCAACCGUGGAGGGUCAUUGGAAACUGGAAAACUUGAGUGCAGAAGAGGAAAGUGGAAUUCCAUGUGUAGCGGUGAAAUGCGCAGAGAUAUGGAGGAACACCAGUGGCGAAGGCGACUUUCUGGUCUGUAACUGACGCUGAUGUGCGAAAGCGUGGGGAUCAAACAGGAUUAGAUACCCUGGUAGUCCACGCCGUAAACGAUGAGUGCUAAGUGUUAGGGGGUUUCCGCCCCUUAGUGCUGCAGCUA
rnacentral:rRNA from 1 species